UGCUUUUGUAGCAAUACGAGAGUAUCCUAGUGGCGAACGGGUGAGUAACGCGUUGGUGACCUACCCCAAAGUGUGGGAUAACAGUCCGAAAGGAUUGCUAAUACCGCAUGUGGUCAUUGGAUUUAGAAACUGAUGACUAAAGGAGCAAUUCGCUUUGGGAGGGACCUGCGUCCCAUCAGCUAGUUGGUGAGGUAACGGCUCACCAAGGCGACGACGGGUAGGGGACCUGAGAGGGUGACCCCCCACAAUGGAACUGAAACACGGUCCAUACACCUACGGGUGGCAGCAGUAGGGAAUAUUGCACAAUGGGCGAAAGCCUGAUGCAGCAACGCCGCGUGUGUGAUGAAGGCCUUCGGG
rnacentral:rRNA from 1 species